UACGAAGGGGGCGAGCGUUGUUCGGAAUUACUGGGCGUAAAGGGCGCGCAGGCGGCUCUGCAAGUCGGGGGUGAAAGCCCGAGGCUCAACCUCGGAACUGCCUUCGAUACUGCGGGUCUCGAGUCCGGGAGAGGUGAGUGGAAUUCCUAGUGUAGAGGUGAAAUUCGUAGAUAUUAGGAAGAACACCAGUGGCGAAGGCGGCUCACUGGCCCGGUACUGACGCUGAGGCGCGAAAGCGUGGGGAGCAAACAGG
rnacentral:rRNA from 1 species